CAAAGAUUAAGCCAUGCAUGUCUCAGUAUAAGCUUCUACACGGCGAAACUGCGAAUGGCUCAUUAAAGCAGUUAUAAUUUAUUUGAUGGUCACUGCUACAUGGAUAACUGUGGUAAUUCUAGAGCUAAUACAUGCACCAAAACCCAACUUCGCAGAAGGGUUGUAUUUAUUAGAUACAGAACCAACGCAGGCUCUGCCUGCUUGUGGUGAUUCAUGAUAACUCGAUGAAUCGUGUGGCUUGGCCGACGAUGCAUCUUUCAAGUUUCUGACCUAUCAGCUUCCGACGGUAGGGUAUGGGCCUACCGUGGCAAUGACGGGUAACGGAGAAUUAGGGUUUGAUUCCGGAGAGGGAGCCUGAGAA
rnacentral:rRNA from 17 species